AACCACUAAGAAGCUUCCUUUCCCCGCUCAUCUCACCGAUGUCAAGUCGGUUGCCAAGUUCACUGAGAGCCUUGUCUCUCUUGAGGGGUUUGAAUCACAAGCGUGAAGUGGGUCAUAUCUGGGAAAGGAAGAGUCCAGCAUAAUUGCUGCAAAUGUGUUUAUAAUAGGACCAGCUUGUUUGUUUCGUAAAUUUGUGUAAUGUAGAGAGCACAAGGGGGUUAGUCUAAUGCCUUGUCAUUGAGUCUACGAAGUACACCCUGCUUUGUUGUAAAAUAGGUUGAAAUUUUUGUAUAUAAUUUUCUUAAUAAUUUUAAA